AAAAGAAGAAGAUUUUUUGAGGUUAUAUUUAUAAUAAUUCAUCAAGAGAUUAAUAAUUUUUAACUAAACAUGUUUCCAGUUUUACUUCGAUCAUUUUUAAACGUCUCAAAACGUUUACCUACCUAUACAAAAGCAGCAUCUUUCCACCUGUUCAAUUCUCCAAAUACGAUCCGAUCUAACUUCCUAACACCGGUUUUAAUAAAUUUAAUACCUUCGUGUGGUUUUAAAGUAGUAGGACGAGUUAAAAGAAGAUGCAAGGAUUGCUUUAUGAUUUGGCGUGAACAGAGACUAUACAAUUUAUGUAAAACUCAUCCGAGACACAAACAAAUGUCUAUGCAGAAAGAUCCGAAGAAUACUUGGGUACUGACUCACGCUACGCAAUCAAAAAUGCGACCUUGGUAGUUUAAAUUUAAGAGUAAAUAAAUAAUUUUGUAGUUUAUCAAA